rnacentral:rRNA from 1 species
AUACGUAGGUGGCGAGCGUUGUCCGGAUUUACUGGGCGUAAAGAGUGCGUAGGCGGAUGUUUAAGUGAGAUGUGAAAUACCCGAGCUCAGCUUGGGUGCUGCAUUUCAAACUGGGCAUCUAGAGUGCAGGAGAGGAAAGCGGAAUUCCUAGUGUAGCGGUGAAAUGCGUAGAGAUUAGGAAGAACACCAGUGGCGAAGGCGGCUUUCUGGACUGUAACUGACGCUGAGGCACGAAAGCGUGGGGAGCAAACAGGAUUAGAUACCCUGGUAGUCCACGCCGUAAACGAUGGGUACUAGGUGUCGGGGGUCCAACCUCGGUGCCGCAGUAAACACAUUAAGUACCCCGCCUGGGGAGUACGGUCGCAAGAUUAAAACUCAAAUGAAUUGACGGGG